GUGCUGCCUUUGAGCCCCCACGGAACCUGCGCGUGGUGCCCCAGGAGUCAGGCUGCAGCCAGGGCACAUGCUGUCGCAGACCUGGGGCCAAUAGCUCCUGCAGCAAGC